CUAGAAACGGCUUUGCUGCCGAAUGCAUUAUCUUGCCAUUUUCGUGUCCCAAUACUGAACAAACGAUCGCCUGAUCGAUCGGCUGUUGUCCAGCUCUAAUGAUAUCCUAGAGCAGAAGUGUUUCUUCUGUUGUCUCAUUUUACCAAGAGGAUGAUGUCUGUGUAUGUCUCUGUGUUUUAGAGAGGCUGACAAACGCUGCUAAGAGGAUCUGAGGUUCACAUAAAGAGGAUGAAAAUUCUGAAUUACUUUCAUUGCAAAUAAACCUUAACAAUUGUGAGAGUUAGAGAGCAUACUUUUCACAUAAGACUUUGAUAUGCUGCCUAAAGCUACUUACAUAAUUUGCUAUUCAGAGAAAUGCAUUUGUUUAUUGAGGAUCCACCUGGACUUAAAUUAGAAAAAUGUAACAUUCAGACUUUUAUUUUAUAUGUGAAAUAAAUGUGUGAUUGCUGUUCUUAAAAAUUUGAAAAAAAAACA
rnacentral:lncRNA from 1 species